AGAGUUUGAUCGUGGCUCAGGAUGAACGCUAGCGGCGCGCUUAAUGCAUGCAAGUCGAGCGAUGAGGCUCCUUCGGGAGUACAUCAGCGGCAGACGGGUGAGUAACACGUAGGUGACCUGCCCCUAAGAUCGGGAUAACGGGUGGAAACACACGCUAAUACCGGAUAUACUUCUGGGGUCGCAGCCAGGAGGAAAGCUCCGGCGCUUGGGGAGGGGCCUGCGGCCCAUCGGCUAGUUGGUGUGGUAACGGCACACCAAGGCGAAGACGGGUAGGGGGUGUGAGAGCAUGACCCCCCACAAUGGGACUGAGACACGGCCCAUACUCCUACGGGAGGCAGCAGCAGGGAAUAUUGCGCAAUGGGCGAAAGCCUGACGCAGCGACGCCGCGUGAAUGAUGAAGGCCUUCGGGUUGUAAAGUUCUUUUCUGGGGGAAGAGGAAGGACGGUACCCCAGGAAUAAGCGUCGGCUAACUACGUGCCAGCAGCCGCGGUAAUACGUAGGACGCGAGCGUUAUCCGGAUUUAUUGGGCGUAAAGCGUCUGUAGGCGGCAGAGUAAGUUGGGCGUGAAAGCUCCGGGCUUAACCCGGAGAGGCCGUUCAAUACUGCUCAGCUAGAGGGGGUCAGAGGAGCGUGGAAUUUCCGGUGUAGCGGUAAAAUGCGCAGAUAUCGGGAGGAACACCAGUGGCGAAGGCGGCGCUCUGGGGCCGCCCUGACGCUGAGAGACGAAAGCUAGGGGAGCAAACAGGAUUAGAGACCCUGGUAGUCCUAGCCCUAAACGAUGGAUGCUAGGUGUGGGGCCGAGAAGGCUCCGUGCCGCAGCUAACGCGAUAAGCAUCCCGCCUGAGGACUACGGCCGCAAGGUUAAAACUCAAACGAAUUGACGGGGACCCGCACAAGCAGCGGAGCGUGUGGUUCAAUUCGAUCUACACGAAGAACCUUACCUGGGUUUGACAUAUCCGUGGUAGCGAAGCGAAAGCGGAGCGACCCUUCGGGGAGCGGAUACAGGUGCUGCAUGGCUGUCGUCAGCUCGUGCCGUGAGGUGUCGGGUUAAGUCCCGUAACGAGCGCAACCCUUGCCCUUAGUUAUACGUGUCUAAGGGGACUGCCGGCGGGAAGCCGGAGGAAGGUGGGGAUGACGUCAAGUCAGCAUGGCCCUUAUGUCCAGGGCUACACACACGCUACAAUGGACGGUACAAAGGGCAGCCAAGCCGCGAGGCGGAGCGAAUCCCAUCAAAGCCGUUCGUAGUUCGGAUAGCAGGCUGCAACUCGCCUGCUUGAAGCUGGAGUUGCUAGUAACCGCGCGUCAGCUAUAGUGCGGUGAAUAUGUUCCCGGGUCUUGUACACACCGCCCGUCACGUCAUGGGAGUCGGUAACGCCUGAAGCCAGUAGCUGAACCUUAACCGGGGGGCGCUGUCGAAGGCGGGACUGGCGACUGGGACGAAGUCGUAACAAGGUA
rnacentral:rRNA from 1 species